rnacentral:rRNA from 1 species
CAAGACUCAAGCCUGCCAGUUUCGAAUGCAGUUCCCAGGUUGAGCCCGGGGAUUUCACAUCCGACUUGACAGACCGCCUGCGUGCGCUUUACGCCCAGUAAUUCCGAUUAACGCUUGCACCCUCCGUAUUACCGCGGCUGCUGGCACGGAGUUAGCCGGUGCUUCUUCUGCGGGUAACGUCAAUUGCUGCGGUUAUUAACCACAACACCUUCCUCCCCGCUGAAAGUACUUUACAACCCGAAGGCCUUCUUCAUACACGCGGCAUGNNNNNNNNNNNNNNNNNNNNCUGCAUCAGGCUUGCGCCCAUUGUGCAAUAUUCCCCACUGCUGCCUCCCGUAGGAGUCUGGACCGUGUCUCAGUUCCAGUGUGGCUGGUCAUCCUCUCAGACCAGCUAGGGAUCGUCGCCUUGGUGAGCCGUUACCUCACCAACAAGCUAAUCCCAUCUGGGCACAUCUGAUGGCAAGAGGCCCGAAGGUCCCCCUCUUUGGUCUUGCGACGUUAUGCGGUAUUAGCCACCGUUUCCAGUAGUUAUCCCCCUCCAUCAGGCAGUUUCCCAGACAUUACUCACCCGUCCGCCACUCGUCAGCAAAGCAGCAAGCUGCUUCCUGUUACCGUUCGACUUGCAUGUGUUAGGCCUGCCGCCAGCGUUCAAUCUGAGCCAUGAUCAAACUCUUCAAUUUAAAAGUUUGAUGCUCAAUGAAUUAAACUUCGUAAUGAAUUACGUGUUCACUCUUGAGACUUGGUAUUNNNNNNNNNNNNNNNNNNNNCACUCUUGAGACUUGGUAUUCAUUUUUCGUCCGAGGACGUCAAGAAUCCGUAUCUUCGAGUGCCCACACAGAUUGUCUGAUAAAUUGUUAAAGAGCAGGUGCGACGCGGCUUUCAGCUCAUCGUCGCGAGGUGGCGUAUAUUACGCUUUCCUCUUUCAGAGUCAA